rnacentral:rRNA from 1 species
AUUGAACGCUGGCGGAAUGCUUUACACAUGCAAGUCGAACGGCAGCACGGGGGCAACCCUGGUGGCGAGUGGCGAACGGGUGAGUAAUACAUCGGAACGUGCCCUGUCGUGGGGGAUAACGUAGCGAAAGCUACGCUAAUACCGCAUACGAUCUCUGGAUGAAAGCGGGGGACCGCAAGGCCUCGCGCGAUUGGAGCGGCCGAUGGCAGAUUAGGUAGUUGGUGGGGUAAAGGCUCACCAAGCCGACGAUCUGUAGCUGGUCUGAGAGGACGACCAGCCACACUGGGACUGAGACACGGCCCAGACUCCUACGGGAGGCAGCAGUGGGGAAUUUUGGACAAUGGGCGAAAGCCUGAUCCAGCCAUUCCGCGUGCAGGAUGAAGGCCCUCGGGUUGUAAACUGCUUUUGUACGGAACGAAACGGUCUUGGUUAAUACCUGGGGCUAAUGACGGUACCGUAAGAAUAAGCACCGGCUAACUACGUGCCAGCAGCCGCGGUAAU